CUCAGGUACUUUGGACAUGUUAUCAGGAAGGACCAGUCCCUGGAGAAGGACAUAAUGCUUGGUAAAGUAGAGGGUCAGUCAAAAAGAGGAAGACCCUCAACGAGAUGGACUGACAUAGUGGCUGCAAGGAUGGGCUCAAGCAUAACAACGAUUGUGACGAUGGCACAGGGCUGGGCAACGUUUCAUUCUGUUGUACAGAGGGUUGGCAUGAGUCGGAACUGACUCGACAGCACCUAAUAACAACAUGUUUUUCAGUUAGCAAAAUGUACUUCAAAAUAUCACAACACAGUUUUUUGUGGGAGCUGAGGGAAGGAGGGAAACAAUUAAGCAACUCUCUACACAAAUUUAAGUGCACAUAACCUUUGACCCACUUCUAAGAAUGUAUCUUGCAGAUAUAUUCUCACCAUCACACUAUAUCUACAACUCACUUCAGCACUGUUCUGUUUGAAAUAGUGAAAAUUUGGAAAUAACUGAUUAAAUAAAUUAUGAUACAUCCAAACAAAUACUAUGCAAACCGUAAAAAAGAAUGUUGUUGUGUGCCAUGGAGUUGACUUUAACCCAUAGCAAACCCAUGUGACAGAGUAGAACUGCUCCAUAGGAUUUUCUUGGCUUUGAUCUUUACUGAAGCAGAUCACCAGGUCUUUCCCCCUCGGAGUUACUGAAUGCGUUUGAACUGCCAACUCUUCAGUUAACCACUGUACCACCAAGGCUCCUUUUGUAAAAAAAAGAAUAAGGUCAUCUACAUGCACUAAUAAGGAGCCCUGGUAACUCUGUUGUUAAGCGCUCAGCUGCUAACUGAAAAGUUGGCAGUUCAAACUCACUAGCCACUCCUCAAUAUACCUGCAUUUAUUUGUACAUACAUAAAAAUAUCAAAAACUGAUAAUAAUCGUUACAGCUGGAGAAUAGAACUGGGAAGAAGAUUCCUAGGGGUGUGGAAAGAACUUAUACUUUACUUUUUAUGUCCUUUUGUACUGUUUUACUUUUCUCACUAUGAGCAACAUACAAAUUUACAUUGUACAUUACAAAACAAUAUAAAGUAUCUACAUAAUCUCCUGCCAAGUGAAUACUUCAUGGUGUUGGUUCCUGUUACAGAAAUUUGCUUUUCACUAUUCCUUUUAAUCUGAAGUUUGGACUUCACUCUAAUUCUCUAAAAGGCCACCACAUAUAUUCAUUCAUUCAAUACAAGCUGUUUCACGCCAGGCACUGUUCUUGGAAGAAGUACAGCCAGAAUGCUCCUUAGAAGCAAAGAUGUCCAGACUUUGUCUCGCUUACUUUGGACAUGUUAUCAAAAUGGACCAGUCCCUGGAGAAGGACAUCAUGCUUGGUAAAAGACAGCACAACACUGGGCAACUUUUAGUUCUGUUAUACACAGAAUCUCUUAUCAGUCAGAACCCACUAGAGGGCACCUACUGUUCUAAACCAAGGAGAAACACUGGUGCAGAAAAUCAAAUGUGUUUCCCCCACACAUUCUAGCAAGGAAGACAAAAAACAGAAACACAUUAGUAAUUCUAACUAGUAAUUAAUAUUAACUGAAUAAUUUUAAUUACAAACAAAUGCUAUGAAGAAAGAAGUCGAGACCCGAAUUUUCAAAUGCUGAAUGUUGAAAGGAAGUGGUGUGUGGUGUGCAUAUACGCAUAUUCACUCCCAUAUACUAAUUAAUAGUAGCUUUUUUUUUUCCUUUGAAUUUAAGUUUGUUGUUUGAAUAAAGUAUUCGUUUUGGGUUUCAAAUUAACUCAAAUAAUUUCAAAUAUAUUACAAAAAAAUUAAAAAUAGCUGAACGUUACAGUUAUGUGACUUUAGGCCAAUUAACUGCUUUAGGCCUCCGUUUUCUUCUCUACCAGAGGAAAUAUUUACCUGUCAGGUUUCCUGCCUCCUGAGAAUUACAUGGGAUAAUUAUGGAGUGCUUAGAACUGUGCCUGGCACAGCGGAGCGUCAAAAAUCAGGAGUGGGGUGAGCCCCCAUUGGACAGUGCUCCCCGUCCGCGAGUCGGUCUGGGGCGCAUGCCCCGCGGCGGAGCGGCCUUCGGAAGAGGUGAGGUAUUUUCGCUGUUGACUAGAGGAUAAAUACGGCACCUUCACACGUCUUUCACCAGAGCGCUUGAGCUGGCCAGUUUCUCUUUCCAGCGCUCUUCCGCUCCUUCGGCGGCGGGCCAGCGCGAGCCAGCCAGCUCGGCUUCUCGAGUAGGUCAUAAACGCAGCCGCCGCGCACUGACCCGGGCCGCCCAAUCAGUCCUGGAAGGACUUGGCUAGGCGCAGGCGGCAGCACUGCCUUCAACUACGGCUGUUUGAAUUCUGGCGCCACUCCCGCGCCACGUAGGGACGAGACACUCGCCAGAUUCGGAAGCGACGGGCCUCAGCGUGCCGGGGAAUGGGCGGGCAGAGAGCGCGCACCGCAAGAUCCGGAACGCCGGCGCGCGGCCGGGCCCCCAGGGAAAAGAGCCGCCGCGCGCGCUCCCGCACGCUUGCGGGAAAGGGUCCCGCCCCCGUCUUCUUCGCGACCAAUAGAAGCGAGAGGGAGGGCGCGGCCUCGUUCUGACUGAGAGAAGGCUAUAUAGGGGACGGCUGGCGGCACAGCCCGGUCUUUUACGUCCGGAUUCGGAAGCUUGUCACUGUGUUACCAGGUGAGUUGUCGUCGCGGUCGAUUAGCCGAGUGAGGGAGGAGGUUGGUGUUUGCGGAAAGAGGCUGGGGCUGCAAUACUGUGAGGCGUUUUGGAGAUUUGAACAUGGAGUACUGUAUGUUGUUCGUGGAAAAGCGCAGCCGGACCGCCGCCACGUGUCCCAAGAUUGAGUCGUAGUGGUUGUAGUCUCAGGCGUGAGGAGGCCUCUAAUCUGCCAAACGCGGCCUGGGAACUGGAUUCGGACUGCCGGCUGGACUGACUGAGCGGUGCAGAACUACGUCCAAAUUUCCAGACCGUUCUUUGUCGAUUUCGGCGCAUGGCGACCCCAUGUGUGUAGAGUAGAGCUCUUCCACAGGGUUUUCUAGACUGAUUUUCGGCAGCGGAUCGACGGGUCCCUUCCGAGGCUUCUCUGUCUAGGUUCAAACCGUCAAUCUCUUGUCUAGUAUUGCAGCGACUGGCCGGUUUUAUUGUGUGGCGAUUGCCAUUUCUCCCUUGGCAAAUGUUUGUUUCGAAAUAGGUAAUCCUGACCCUGCAUGAGACUACUUGUAUUGUGCUCCAGGUAGCCUUGUUUGUAAUUAGAAUUAAUGGAGGGGAACAUUUUAAUACUGGAAAUCUGGAGGUGUGACGUUCUAUGAAUAUGCUUAAUCUUAGAUACCGAUCUCCCCGCCACCCACCUAGGAACAAUGACAGCGUCUAAUGGUAUGUCGAAUCUGCUGUGUGGAUAUGCAAAGGUAAGGUUUCCAGGGCUCUUGGUAGCUUUGUAAACAAAGGAAGGAAACCUGUUGAUUUACAGAAAUAGGAAAUGAUUCAUGUUCUGGCAUUUGCUUCCAUUUAUAGAUGCAAAGGAAAAUUCCAAGACAUCGGAAAGAGUAUUUACUGGAAAAUGCUUUGUUUAAAAUCUGACAGUUUUAGCAGGUAUGUGUACAACUAGUAAUUUAUCAUUGGGUAUAUGUUUAAUCCAUGUGUAGAUUAAAUGAAGUUUUUGUUGUUUGAGCACUAACCUGGGGGUUGAUAAUGCCAGCUUCAUUUUUAAGCAGCUUGUGUGCCUUCCAAAUUUUCAGUCUUUUUGAGUUAUGGCAAAUGUCACUGAAGUAUAGCUUAAGGUAAUAAGUAUGAUUGGUCUAAUCAAUGAUGACACCUAUCCCGAAGCUGAUUACCUGAAGAAAAAUAUAUACGGAUUCGGCUUCUGAGAUGAGGCCAAUUUGCAGAAAUUUUGGGGGUUGCCUUUCAUAGCUGAAAGGGUUCUGUUAAUUUGUAAACCAUCUUGUACAAAAAAAAAAAAAGCUCGCGAGAAUUUUUUUUUUCUUCUCUCUGCCGAAAAGUGAGUCAUUGCUGUCUGCCCACCUAAGGAAGGCCAGUUUGGCCUGACGUUCCUUCCUAAGGAACUUCCUGACUACCAAGAGGUUUACUUGUCUGGUGUCAAGUGCUGGUGGUGAAAAGCCCAGGAAACAUUGCAUUUUGCAGACGUAGAAAGGAAAAAUGCAAUUUGGUUUUAUCGAGAGAGUGUUUUAGGGUAACUUCAAAUAUUGUGGAUUUGGAUGAUGAACCAACACUGAAUCUAGAUUAAGUAUUCACAAGAUGCGAGCCACUUCUGUAUAACACUACCCUAAAGAGUCACAAAGUAUUAACAAGUAGAUUAUUUAUCAGAACUAUUUCUUAAGUUAUAGAUACUUUAAUGUGAGAAGUAGAAUGUGCAGUGUUCAAAAAUUCUUUGUUAUCGGUUAACCAUCCUUAUAAUUCUGAAUGACCUUAUCUGUGCUCACCUGUUUGAAAUGCUUAGUUGUAUUUAAAGCUUACGUUAACGCUUGUAGAGAUUUGUCAAUUGAUUAUAAAAAUAAAAUGUAUGGAACAAAGUA